rnacentral:rRNA from 1 species
AACGCUGGCGGCGUGCUUAACACAUGCAAGUCGAACGAUGAUCCCAGCUUGCUGGGGGAUUAGUGGCGAACGGGUGAGUAACACGUGAGUAACCUGCCCUUGACUCUGGGAUAAGCCUGGGAAACUGGGUCUAAUACCGGAUACGACCAUCUGGCGCAUGUCAUGGUGGUGGAAAGCUUUUGUGGUUUUGGAUGGACUCGCGGCCUAUCAGCUUGUUGGUGGGGUAAUGGCCUACCAAGGCGACGACGGGUAGCCGGCCUGAGAGGGUGACCGGCCACACUGGGACUGAGACACGGCCCAGACUCCUACGGGAGGCAGCAGUGGGGAAUAUUGCACAAUGGGCGCAAGCCUGAUGCAGCGACGCCGCGUGAGGGAUGACGGCCUUCGGGUUGUAAACCUCUUUCAGUAGGGAAGAAGCGAAAGUGACGGUACCUGCAGAAGAAGCGCCGGCUAACUACGUGCCAGCAGCCGCGGUAAUACGUAGGGCGCAAGCGUUAUCCGGAAUUAUUGGGCGUAAAGAGCUCGUAGGCGGUUUGUCGCGUCUGCUGUGAAAGACCGGGGCUCAACUCCGGUUCUGCAGUGGGUACGGGCAGACUAGAGUGCAGUAGGGGAGACUGGAAUUCCUGGUGUAGCGGUGAAAUGCGCAGAUAUCAGGAGGAACACCGAUGGCGAAGGCAGGUCUCUGGGCUGUAACUGACGCUGAGGAGCGAAAGCAUGGGGAGCGAACAGGAUUAGAUACCCUGGUAGUCCAUGCCGUAAACGUUGGGCACUAGGUGUGGGGGACAUUCCACGUUUUCCGCGCCGUAGCUAACGCAUUAAGUGCCCCGCCUGGGGAGUACGGCCGCAAGGCUAAAACUCAAAGGAAUUGACGGGGGCCCGCACAAGCGGCGGAGCAUGCGGAUUAAUUCGAUGCAACGCGAAGAACCUUACCAAGGCUUGACAUGAACCGGAAAGACCUGGAAACAGGUGCCCCGCUUGCGGUCGGUUUACAGGUGGUGCAUGGUUGUCGUCAGCUCGUGUCGUGAGAUGUUGGGUUAAGUCCCGCAACGAGCGCAACCCUCGUUCUAUGUUGCCAGCGCGUUAUGGCGGGGACUCAUAGGAGACUGCCGGGGUCAACUCGGAGGAAGGUGGGGACGACGUCAAAUCAUCAUGCCCCUUAUGUCUUGGGCUUCACGCAUGCUACAAUGGCCGGUACAAAGGGUUGCGAUACUGUGAGGUGGAGCUAAUCCCAAAAAGCCGGUCUCAGUUCGGAUUGGGGUCUGCAACUCGACCCCAUGAAGUCGGAGUCGCUAG